GAUGGAGAUGGUGGUGUCAAAGUGAUUGGUGGAUCAACUGGAGUUGAGGGUGGUGAGGUAUAGUAUCCACCACUUGAUGGAGGGUUUGAUGGUGUUGAAGGUGUUGAAGGUGUUGUUGGAGUUGAAGGAUCAUGUGGUGGUGAUGAUACACAGCCAACUGAGGGUGGAGUUGGAGUAUAAUAACCUCCAUGUGAAGGUGGUGAUGAUGAGCUUCCAUGUGAAGAUGG
rnacentral:lncRNA from 1 species